GUUCACUUAGUAUUCAUAAGAUGACAUAUUUUGUAAUUUAUUGCUUAGUAAAUACCAUCACAAGUUGCAAGAAGUUUAUAGGAAUUUUAAGGUUAAAAUGCCAUAAAAUUUUACCUUUCAUAUUCAGACUUGAUAUUUGGGUGGCUUCAGAACAGAGUCAAAUUUACAAAAGGUCUUCUGAAAUAGGACUCCAGUUCUAUUUUGAUGGUUUUUGGAAACGGGGCCAUGAUUAAGGGGGACAGCCGGGGGCAUUCGUAUUGUGCUACUAGAGGUGAAAUUCUUGGACCAGCAGGAGAUGGCUUAGAGUGAAAGCAUUUGCCAAAAAUGUUUUCGUGAAUCAAGAACAAAAGUCACAGGUUUGAAGACGAUCAGAUACCAUCAUAGUUCUGACCAUAAACAAUACCGACUGGUGAAACAGUUUUUUUCAGCAGUCUCUGUGGCGCAAUUGGUUAGCGCGUUCGGCUGUUAACCGAAAGGUUGGUGGU
rnacentral:ncRNA from 1 species